AACGAACGCUGGCGGCGUGGAUUAGGCAUGCAAGUCGUGCGUGAAAGUGGUAGCAAUACUGCGAGUAAAGCGGCGAACUGGUGAGUACAAGGUGAAUUACGUGCCCUUGAGUGGGGGAUAACCCGCCGAAAGGCGGGCUAAUACCGCAUGGUUUCCGAAAGGAAUAAAGCAGCAAUGCGCUCGAGGAUCGGUUCACCUCCCAUUAGCUAGUUGGUGGGGUAAUGGCCCACCAAGGCUACGAUGGGUAGCUGGUCUGAGAGGAUGGUCAGCCACACUGGAACUGAGAUACGGUCCAGACUCCUACGGGGGCAGCAGUCUAGAGGCUUCGUCAAUGCCCGAAAGGGUGAACGAGCGACGCCGCGUGCGGGAUGAAGGCUUUCGGGUCGUAAACCGCUUUUGUUGGGAAGAAUGCCUGUGUCGUGAACAUGGGAGGGACGGUACCAGACGAAUAAGCCUCGGCUAACUCCGUGCCAGCAGCCGCGGUAAU
rnacentral:rRNA from 1 species